GCCUUGGUAGUGUAGUGGUCUAGCAUAAAGCCCUGUCGCGGCUUUGACCCGGGUUCAAAUCCCGGCCAAGGCG
rnacentral:tRNA from 1 species